AUGACGGCGAUGUCAGUGACGUCGGGGAUGAUAACGCAAAUGAUGACGGAGCCUGGGAAAAGCAUCUUUAAACCUUCUAUCAAGAAGCGGCAUGGCCUAGUGGAUAGAACAAGGGCUCGGGAGUCAGAAGGACCUGGGUUCCAAUUCCGUUCCGCCGCUCGGCUGCUGUGCGACCUCGGGCAGGUAACUUCACUUCUAUGUGCCUCAGUUACCUCGUCUGUAAAACGGGGAUCCAGACUGUGGGCCCCGUGGGUUGGACACGGACUGUGUCCAACCUGAAUGGCUUUUAUCUCCCCCAGCACUUAGCACAGUGCCUGGCACAUACUAAGUGCUUAAUAGACGCCUUAAAAACAACAACCCUCCUAGGGAUCAUUCCCAAACUCUAUUUAGAGAGCUAUUAAUCGAAAGCUUCCGUUGGCCGAAUGCCAUUUAAAGCUACAAUACUUCACGUCGAAGGCAAGGCCGAAGAUAUCGAGUUCCCGUCAACGGGUGGGAAGCGGCAAGACGCGGUGUGGCCUGGAAGUCAGAAGACCCGGGCUCUAAUCCUGGCUCUGCCACUUGCCUUCUGGGUGACCUUGGGCAAGUCACUUCCUUCUCUGUGUCUCAGUUUCCUCGAUGUAAAAUGAGGACUCAUGACCUAGUCUCCAUUCUAGUUAGACUCUGAGCCCCAUGCGGGACACGGACUGUAUAAGCGCUUAACAGAUGCCAUCACUGUUAUCAUUAUUAUUAUUGUUAUUAUUAACUUGUAUCUACCCCAGUGCUUAGAACAGUACGUGACUUGUAGUAAGCGCUUACCGAAUAUGAGGAUAGUAAUUAUGAUAAUGACAAUGAUCACGAUUAUUAUUAUCAAAACUCAAAGGAACUCACAGCCGCACAGGGUAAACGGACACUGAAAUGUGUGACGAGGGGAAAUGAUAAAGGAUAAAGAUAGGAAUUUGAGUACCACGGGACAUGGUGAGUAUAAGUACUUAAAAGAAGUGGUAGUAAAGAGGGUGAUUUAAAGCGGGGACAUUUACUCCUACCUAACCUCGCUACUCUCCUACUCUAACCCAGC
rnacentral:lncRNA from 1 species